rnacentral:rRNA from 1 species
AUGAACGCUGGCGGCGUGCCUAAUACAUGCAAGUCGAGCGAACGGACGAGAAGCUUGCUUCUCUGAUGUUAGCGGCGGACGGGUGAGUAACACGUGGAUAACCUACCUAUAAGACUGGGAUAACUUCGGGAAACCGAAGCUAAUACCGGAUGAUAUUUUGAACCGCAUGGUUCAAAAGUGAAAGACGGUCUUGCUGUCACUUAUAGAUGGAUCCGCGCUGCAUUAGCUAGUUGGUAAGGUAACGGCUUACCAAGGCAACGAUGCAUAGCCGACCUGAGAGGGUGAUCGGCCACACUGGAACUGAGACACGGUCCAGACUCCUACGGGAGGCAGCAGUAGGGAAUCUUCCGCAAUGGGCGAAAGCCUGACGGAGCAACGCCGCGUGAGUGAUGAAGGUCUUCGGAUCGUAAAACUCUGUUAUUAGGGAAGAACAUAUGUGUAAGUAACUGUGCACAUCUUGACGGUACCUAAUCAGAAAGCCACGGCUAACUACGUG